UGUGCCUACGGGGGGCAGCAGUGAGGAAUAUUGGUCAAUGGCCGGAAGGCUGAACCAGCCAAGCCGCGUGAAGGACGAAGGUGCCAAGCAUUGUAAACUUCUUUUGUCAGGAAGCAAUUGGGUCCACGCGUGGGCUUAGCGAGAGUACCUGAAGAAAAAGCAUCGGCUAACUCCGUGCCAGCAGCCGCGGUAAUACGGAGGAUGCGAGCGUUAUCCGGAUUUAUUGGGUUUAAAGGGUGCGUAGGCGGAAUAUCAAGUCAGCGGUAAAAAUUCGGGGCUCAACCCCGUCGUGCCGUU
rnacentral:rRNA from 1 species